rnacentral:rRNA from 1 species
UACGUAGGUGGCAAGCGUUGUCGGAAUUAUUGGGCGUAAAGGGCGCGUAGGCGGUUUGUUAAGUCAGCUGUGAAAGCCCGGGGCUCAACCCCGGAGAGUCGACUGAUACUGGCAAACUAGAGUACGGAAGAGGUAGCUGGAAUUCCCGGUGUAGCGGUGAAAUGACGUAGAUAUCGGGAGGAACACCUGAGGCGAAGGCGGGCUGACUGGGCCGAUACUGACGCUGAUGCGCGAAAGCCAGGGGAG